AUGAAGUUGAAAACGACCCUGGAGGCAUCAAUGAACAGUGGGUUGGAUGGAGAGGAAAUUGUCAUCUUGGAUGAUAAUUGUAGGAUGCUGGAAUCAGUGGUUUUGAAGGUGAAGCAGUUUCCAUUGGCAUCAAAGUGCCAUGUGACCAUGGAGAUGAAUGGUAGAGCAGAGCAAAAGGUCAAGGAUGACAGACUCAAGAACGACCAUGUCUAGGACUGAGCCCUGCACGCUGGAUAUUGAGGAUGGAAGCUGUCAUGCUAAGGACAGGAAGGAGGUAAGGGUUUUGGUGCUCUGCUAACUGAAGAGGAGUAAGUACUUUUUUUGUGAGAGAAAUGACCUAGAUUUUUGGUAUUUUCCCCCCAUUUUUUUUUACCCCUAGUCAUUGGUAAAGCCUUUUGAUUGUUCUAACCCAGAGCUGACUGAGCUGCCAUCUGUAAAGAAAAGAGGUGUCAGUUAUAAAGUGGGAGCUGCAGUGCACCCUUGGAACAAGCAUGAAAUAUGCCCAGAAAGUCCAGAGAGAGGUAUAAUUUUCUAAAUAGGAUCCCAAUGUCCCCAUAAGCUCUACCUUUAGAAGAGUCACCUUUAGAUUCACACCUAGAGGUUUGGAGUUUUGUCUUUUAUGUGUCAAUGAUAGUGGUAUCAUUUCCUUCAUUCUCUAGGCGAAAUUCUGCAUCUCCUACUGCCUGGCAAAUUGUUCUUUUGAAGGAAUGAGCUACCCUGCAGCUGCAAGGGCAGACUUUUCCACUCUGAAUUCCACCAUCAUUAACAAAAUCCCAUAGAUGCCCACCAAAUGCACGGCUCUCCAUCACUGUUGCCAUCAGAGAGAGCCUUAUUGCAGAGAGAGAUUUAAAAAAUGUAAUUACUUUCCGAUAUAAUUUCAUAACCACACUGAAACAUUGAAGCAGAAAAAAAUUUUACCCACAAUCCUGCUACCCCAGCAAAUCAAACUAUUUUCAUGUUUUUAUGUCAUAAUAAUCAUAGGGAAGGUACAAUUUAGAGGUCUUUUUUAGCGUUGUGUUUGUGUGUGUGUGUGUGUGUGUGUGUGUGUUUCUCUACUAUAGGGACAGCAUGCUCCAGAUUUUCUGCAACACUCUUAUUUAUUUCUGAUUUUUUAAAAGCAAAUCAUUAAUUGUAUAACAAAAUGUGAUUAGUUGUAUACCUUUGUAGGAUGGUAGGAAUGCAUUCAUGCACGAAGAGGAAAUUAUCACCCUGUUCCAUUUUUUUUAUUCGUUUUCCCCAUAUUUUGACAUAGCUUUCAUAUUUACAAUGCAAUGUUUCUGAACUGGGAGGUGAUUUUGCUCCACAGGGGAUAUUUGGCCAUAUCUGAAGACAUUUUUGGUUGUCACAACUAGGGGGAUAGUGCUGCCAGCGUCUAGUGGGUAGAGGUCAGGGAUGUUGCCAAGCAUCCUAUAGUGCACAGGACAACCGCUACCACAAGGAAUGAUCUGGCUCCAAAUGUCAACAGCGCUGAGGUUGAGAAACCCCAUUACACUGCAAAUUGGUGAUUUCAUAGUUCUUUGGGUGGAUGUCUAGCUUAUGUAAGUAUCCCCUGCUCCUGUUGCUGGACAUUGGAUGUCUGCCAGUAUCUCAUGGUUUUGAGGAGCAUCUUCGGGCGUUGAGCGUUGCCUUGCUUUGGGCCUGCAGUGGGUUAUUCGAGGGGAGGUUGCCAGCUGCUCACUGGCUUCUCUGGGUUUGGGAAUCAUCCCCAGACCAAGUGGGAGGACUUUUCUACAAAUAGUACAGGCUGUUUCAGGAACAUUAGAUCAAAUGUGACAUGAACUAGAUUGUAG
rnacentral:lncRNA from 1 species